rnacentral:pre_miRNA from 1 species
AUUGGUGAAAGGGAGCUCUCUUAAGUCCAAGCACAGAGAAGAAUAGGACAAAAUUUAUCUCCCGCACUGUUCACACAUUUACAGUAGUAAAAAGACAUAUUCUUUCUACUGCAAUUGAAUGAAUGAGUCAAUUGAUAAUUUGAACCCUUCACUUAUUCAUGAGUGGAUUGAAGGAAGCUCUCUUAAACUAGUAU